GGGGAUAUAGCUCAAUGGGAGAGCGCAUGCUUUGCACGCAUGAUGUUGUCGGUUCGAUUCCGACUAUCUCCA
rnacentral:tRNA from 1 species